GUUGAACUGUACUGGGGCUUGACAAGAGGAAGUUUGGAGAGCGCUGGAAGAGAAGGUUUAAUGUCUCGGCGUUCAGAAACAGAGACAGAGGAAUGUCUCAAACAAUGACCCGGAUCAUGUGUGGAUCGGAGUACAUUGUGCUGGAAUUCAGCUUGUCUGACGGAAGAUUCCCGUUCUAAAAAGAGCAGAUGGGUCAAAGGUAAAAGCCGUGAGGCCUGUUCCUACACGAGUAUUCCUGCCGUCAUCUUCCACUGCACAAGUCGGUGUGCUACAAUCGCUGCUUGAAAGCCAAUGCAAAUCUGACAGAUCAAUCGACACACCUCAGAGCCGUACAGAUGCCAUGAAAGUGUGCUUACAUUAUUGCUUUUGUGCUGGUUAACACAUUUUCAUGUGUGUCUUCUGACAGCGGUCAUUGCGACUCCUGAAGUUUGUGGAGAGAUGAGAGAGAAUUUGUGAAUCGCACAUGGCCCGGAGCGUCUGACCUCUGUUGCCCCAAGGAAGCCGUUUCCAUGACAACCCCCCACUCAGCCGGAGUCCAACCAAUCGCUGACGAUUGUGAAUUCCUGCAGGUUUAGAAAGAGAGAGGAAAAAGUUCUCAAUGCACUCGGAGAUGAUAAUAUUACAGCCACGUUUGGAGACAAAAAUGUGUUCGCCGAUUGUAUUAUUAGAGACUUUAUACAGCAUUUAACGUCUGGUGGAAUGUUUUGUAUUUCACAGAAGGAAGAAGUCUUAUGGGUUUGGAAAAACAGAAGUGAGUAAAAGUCUUAUUUUUGGGUGCACUGUUCCUUUAAUUAACACAUGGAUGGGAUGGUGGAAAAAGUUAGAUAUUUAACUUCUAAAUUCUCUUUAUUUAACUAUCUAAAUUACAUAUCUAUAUAUAAAAAAAUCUUCUUUUUGGGACACACUGUUUAAUAUUCUAAUUAUUACUAAUAAUGCAUUUAUCUACAUAAAAAAACAUUUACAAAAUAAAUAACUGGAUAAAUAACAAAAUAUACAAAAUCAUGCACGUGCUUUAAACUAUGUUCAGUACAUAAAAUGACAAAUCAGUACAAUCCACUGAAUGAGUGCGAGAGAGUGCAAAACACUCUUCUGCAUCUCUCUCUCUCCUC